AUGAACGCUAGCGGCAGGCUUAAUACAUGCAAGUUGAGGGGCAGCAUGAUAUACGCGAGUAUAUUGAUGGCGACCGGCGACGGGUGAGUAAUAGGUAGGAGACCUACCUCAUACAGGGGGAUAGCAUAGAGAAAUCUGUGGUAAAUACCCCAUGAGGUUAUAUGAAUAGAGGCAUAUAAUCAAAGCAUAAGCGAUUAUGCGGUAUGAGAGGGGCCUACUGACCAUUAGCUAGUUGGUGAGGUAAGGGCUCACCAAGGCGAAGAUGGUUAGGGGUUUUGAGAGAGAGACCCCCCACAUUGGAACUGAGAGACGGUCCAGACUCCUACGGGAGGCAGCAGUAGGGAAUAUUGGGCAAUGGGCGAAAGCCUGACCCAGCCAUGCCGCGUGAAGGAAGACGGCCUUAUGGGUUGUAAACUUCUUUACUACGCGAAUAGAGGUUAGUACGAGAUACUAAUAGGAAGGUAGUGUAGUAAAAAGCACCGGCUAACUCCGUG
rnacentral:rRNA from 1 species